rnacentral:lncRNA from 1 species
UUAACGGUGUAAAAUAAUCCAAAUCAGAUGAAAAUUUUAUAGAAAUUUUUUUUAUUAUUUAAAAUAAGAUCAGUACCUCUAAUCUUAAAUUCAAGCCUUCUAUCAUUAAUUUUUAUGAGAUUUUUAUUUUCAACCGUUCAUUUUUAGACUACUCGUUUGAUAGGUAAAUGAUAACGAAAAAUUAUGAAAUUUAGUUUUCAAAUACUUUCAAUAGUGUAGAUCAAGCCUAACGGAGCCGAUCGUCGAUUUGGAACUGGCAUCAUUGAAAACAACUCGGUAGUACGGAGACAUCCGUGCUACCGAUAAUAUACCAGCCUAGCUAUAUAUGGAUAUAUAUUACGUCUGAAUAUAUCAUUAUCUCACAUUAAAAUAUAAAUUUUACAUAAUCGAUGUUUUACUAUUAAAAUACCAAUAUUAAGUAUCUUAUAAUUUACCAUA